UCAGGCUCUGCUGCAGUAGAGAUCUUAGAGAGCAAGAUUCAAAUAGCCCAGUUUUCACUGCACUUCCAGAGACAAUCCCACUGAAAACAAAACAAGAGGCCUGAGGCGACAUGGUUCAUGAGGGCUGGGUUGAGGAGGAAAGGGAUGGGAGGCUGGUGUUUCUGGGAGAUCACCAGGUGCUUCAGAAUUGAUUCCUUGAGGACUUGCUCCAUGAUUUUUCCAUAACUAAUUUUGUACCAUAACAAAUUUGUCCACUUUAUUAAAAGUGAGGCUUUCCUUGGUACCAAACUAUAAAAGGGGCAAUAUGUCUGUCAGCAUACUGCUUCUGUAGAGAGCAAACUAUUGAAUAUGUCUGACAAAGAAGAACUGUCUAAUUAGUCUACAUUUUUCAAAAAAUAAUUGCUUGUCAACUAGUUAAACCAUCUUUCUGGAAACAUUUCCCAGGGCAGAAACUGAAAUUACAGCUGGCAUCAUCCCCUACUCCAUACAGAAUGGGAAAUGAGCUGGAUGUUUGGUUUUCAGAACCUACAAAACAGUCUGGUGCAGAGGCCCUAAGAAAAACUUGCAAUUCUAAGGUGAGCUAGACCGAUGAUCUGUCUCUCCAUGGCAUUUCUUUCAAGUGCCAUGUACAGUACCCACACUUCUGAGUGCAGCCCUAUGAUUCACCCCACCUUUUGCUUGAUCAUCAGUUUAGAGCACCCCAUUUCCCAACUGUAUUACUGCAGGUCCAACUGGGUCUGCCACCUUCUAUCGAGUCCUCUGUGAGAGCUGUGACCAGCUGGUAAAAGCAGUGACAGAAUAGCCUCUUCACAACAUAGUAUGAUUUAUUUAUCCAGAGGAACAUCAAAACAGAAAGAAAAGGGUUAAAAAUAACAAAAGCCUAAGUUUUCAUUUCCCUACCUGGCUAGCUUCAAGUAGCUUGUGCUUAACCAAGACACCGCCAAAGCACUGGGGCUGAGUGAGACAGGCUGCCCCAGCAACUACUGCCUCUCUGACAGUCUGACCCACAACUUGGCGGGUGGGGGGAAGAAGAGUUUUCUUCACAUGGAUCUCAGGUCACAGGCUUUUAUCCAUUUCAAAGUUCUUUUGAAUCAGAGUUCCUGCAUGUUGAUCUCCUGCGGUUUCCAUUAGGACUCCUGAACCUGAUCAAACUGGGUUAUGUAUGUCUAAAGAGGGGCAGAGGUAAUCUUCCUGCAGUGGAUACCAGAUAUUGUCCAACUGAGCACAGGCAAUUGAAUUCUGUCUGCUAUCAUUGAUUUGGAUUACUGUAUGAUUUAACUGUCAUCUUUUAACCAGCAAUACAAUAACCACUAAUCCCACAUAUAUAUAUAUAACAUUCAUAAAAAGUACUACAGCUACCUCCCACGUUCUUCACACAUGCUCUAGCUAAAAAAUAAAAAGACUAGAUUUGGAAAAACACCUAUGUUUUUGCAACUAGAUUUUGCAAGCACAAUGUUUUAUAGCGAAUGGGUGACCUAGUUAUUUAAUUUGAAAAGAGCUGUUAAGCAAUGAAAUAGCUUCAUUUCAUAACAUUGUUUCACUUUGCAUUGAAAGAAUGAUAAAAAAGAACAUUAUUUGGAUUUCAGUAAAUGUUCUGUUCUAUGAAAUUGUACAUAGUGUACUUCCAGUCACAUCAAUCCCACUAUAAUGCAUGGCUAAUUUCUAUGCCAAACUCAAAGAGGGCCAAAUCCUGAGGUUCUUACUCAACAUUUACUCUGUUCUUACUUGGGCAGAACUCAUAUAAGGGUGGGAGUUUGCCUGAGUAAAAAUUGUUUGAGGAAUUAGGAUUUGAACCAAAUGAGAUGACCCAGCACAUCUUUAAUUAUGCAAAUGGCACAUCUGUAAGCAUAAGUUCUCCCUUUCGGCUCAUUUCUAACACAGGAAGGCUGAUAUACUGCUUCAGGACUCCACGUUACACCUAUACACAAUAGAAUGAGCUCCCCUCUCCCCUCACAGCCACUCCAUGCCCAAUAAAGAUGUAAUUCUUGUUUCUGUUUCAUCUAUUGGAAUCUCAGUGCCAGUCACCCUCUCCUCCCUUCUGCAAUAGGAGGGCUUUAGUUACCUCCUCUAGCUUUGAAUUGGACGGGAAGUGAUCACAAUCCCUGGAGAUCUGUUUGGAGGAUGCUGGGACUUUUUUAACAUAAGAUAUGUUCCCCCCACAUAAACUCUGAGUGGCAUGAGUUUACAUCCUGGCCCUGGAGACAGGAUGUAGGUCCCUUCCACCUCCUUCCCACCUAUGCCUAUUGCUUUCAAGGGGUGGAGGGGGCAGGAUCAAACUCACAAUGGACAAACUGUCCUCAGGUCAGCCUGCUCAAGAUCAGUGCACCUUGCAUAUGGCAUAUGUCACUCUUUGGGACCUAUGUGCCUCUGAAGGGGCAUUCCCUCACUGUGGCAGAGAGAAGUCUAAUGAGCUCUUCUGGGCCUGUUCAACCCCAAUGAGUCUCCACUUGCAAGGCUUGUUGUGUGGGUGGGGAGGGGGAGACUGCAUAAAAGGGAAAACCUGCCACAGGCAGGAGCAGAGAACAGGAAGAAGACUGCCCCACCUCAGACAGCAGAUACAGGCCUGCGAACAGGGAGACAGUAACAAGCCUCACUAUUUCUGAAGCUGCAUGACCCAGCACACCCCAUGAGAAAGGGAUGGUGGUA